AAUUUUAUUGUUUAAUUUGCUGGGACAUUUUGGAUAGCUAUAAUUCACAUGGAAGUUAUUUAAAAUCGUAGGGUAGGCCUUUUUGAGGCUGACAUAAUUUAUCUGUAGCUCUGCUUAGAAGCUAGGAUAUGGAUGAUAUGACUUCUAUAGGCCCCUGCAUGUCCCAGGAAUAUAUGGGUAAUUGGUUUUAGCAGUGCUUGAACAGCACAUGGUUUCAGUAUAGUGUAGGCAGAAUUUGACCCCAGAAAAACAGACAUAAUUUUUGUUUUUUUAAAAAUAAGAGCCCUUGAAGAAAGCCUGAAAUAAUUCCAGAGUUACUGUAAACAAAGUGGUGGGAGCCUUACUCAUCACAGAGAAAAGUCAGGCUCAUUAAAGAAGGCUCUCUACACAACAUCCACAGAUACAGCAGACACAGAUGAAAGAUGGGUGCAACCCAGAACAGAGAGUAAAGAAUGACCAGGCAACACUCUUUGAAAAUUGGAGACCAUUUGCAGCUGCUCUGUGUUGAGGAAAGUGAAUAAUAGGGUGCCCUCAAGGAAUUUCGAAGACCCCUGCAGAAGGAGGACAGAGAACAAUGUUGAUCCAACCUACAAAGGUUGGAUCACUUCUAGAGGAUCCUAGAAGAGCUCACUGCAAGACUACAGCUUCCACCCUGAUUGUUUGGGUAGCCAGUUUAUCUGCUUAUGUAAGAUCCUUACAGUCCUAGGUUAGUGACAUGAAAGCACAGCCCUGGGAGCCAUGCAGCAGCCAGUGCUCUGCCCAUAUGUAACCCUUUGGGACCUCCACUUCAAUUCCCCCAAAGAGGAAAGCAAAGGAAAGAAGAACAAAAAUGUCUGAAGCACCGACAUCAGGCACUGGCCCAGCUGCCAUGGACCCCCAAGUUCAAGAUCAUAUAACCUCAGCCGGCCCAAAUGCACCAAGCAUACAACCACGGGGGAACCUAACUGUUCCAGUGGAAGAGCGGGGACCAAUUUAAGAGGUGGACACCAUGUGGCAGAAUCCAGGAUCCAAUCAGAUUGAGCCCUGGGGUCACCCUGUGGCAGGAUCCAGUUGGAUCAUGCCCCCUGGUAUCACCUAUUGCAAGAUCCAAUCAGGAAAAGCACAGUACAGGGGACUUUAGAAGCACAUGGCAGACCUAUCUAAUCCAGUGGAGAGAGACUUGAAAAAUCCUGGAAAGGGAGACACAAACAGAAUCUUAAAAGGCAUGUUGAAUACCCUCGUCCAGGCCUGAACACAAUGCCGCUGACCAGAACACAGCAGAGUCACCAGCCACCUUCACUGACUUUUAAAUAACAAAAGAAGUUUUGUUCUUCAUCUUCGCUGACAAACUUGCAGAAGAAGGUGGACAUCUGAUUGACAGGUAUCUCGACAACCUUUUGCAAUUGUCUUUUGAUUUUUGACUAAGAUUUGCAUUGAAAGUGUAUAUGAUAAAAUAUAUACAAAAAAGAAAUGGAAUCAGCAAUAACAUCAGGCUUUCAUUUAAAAAAUAUAAAUUAUUGCACAAGUUAAAGAAUUUCUCCUUGGAGCUUUGUUCUUUUAGGUUAUCAAAUAGAAAAUAGGAAAAUGUGAAAUGUACCUCAAAUUAAAAGAAAAAUUUAGGACAAAUUAAAUUUAACAGAGUUUAAUUGAACGAAGAAUAAUUGGUGAAUUGAGCAGUCCACAAACCAAUCAGAAUAGGUUGAGUGACUUCAGUGCUGUACUAUGGUUGGAGAAGAUUUAUGGACAGAAAAAAAAGAUGCACAGAAAAUGGAAGUGAGGUACAGAAAUUGCUGGGGCGGUUACAGCUCCAUGUUUGCCUUAUUUGAAAAGGGUUGACCAGUUGGCAGCUUGUAAUUGGUUGAAAAUCUGUAAUUGGCACAAGAGUAGGUCACAGUCCAUUGACAGGUCUGGUUAGGUUACAGUUCACUAUAUAUAGAAAAACUUUAGGAAGAACUUAAAAUAUGUAAGGAGGCAGCUUUAGGCUAAAUUUAAUAUAACAUUCAUGAUGUAAGAAUUAUGGAUGGACUGCAAUUCGCUUGUUGAUGAACAUUUAUUUGGAUUUUUACCUGGUUUUGGCUACUGUGAAUAAAGCUGUAAUGAAGUCUUGAAUUUAGAAAACGAAAGGUAUGUUGUUUAAUUUCCACGUAUAUUUAACUUUUCCAGUUUUCCUUCCGUUUCUAGUUUCCAUUGGGAUCAGAAAAGAUGCUUUGUAUGCCUUGAAUCUUUCUAAAUGUAUUAAGACUUAUUUUGGGGCCUAACAUAGAUCUAUCUUAGAGAAAGUUUCAUGCAUACUUAAGAAAAACAUGUAUUCUGCUAUUGUUGGGUGGUAUGCUUUGUAUGUCUGUUAAGUCUUUCUGGCUUAUAGUGUUGUUCAAGUCUUCUAUGUCCUUACUGAUGAUCUAUCUGAAUAUUCUAUCCAUUAUUACAAGUGGAAUAUUGAAAAAAGAAUUUUAUAAUUAUUUUUCACUACAGUUUUGCUAUUUCAUAUUUUAUCUCUGAAUAUAUUUUGUUAUUUUAAUUUAAUUGAUCUGGGGAUCAGCAGUUUUAAAAACAUUAACUUUAUUUUUUCCGAAACACAAAUUCAUUUCCCAAGUUAAGAUGUGUGUUUGAAACUUUGAGUUGUAGUAUGUCUGACCCAGCAAACCCGCCUUACUAACUUUCAAUGCAGUGACAGAGUUCCUUGCUGUUCCUAAACUCACAGCUGAGUAUUUGUUUUUUGAUUGUCUUUUUCAUUUAUUUCUCCAUCCCCUUUCAGGGCAUUCUUUCACUUUCAGGAUUUGUUAACCGCUUGCUUAAUUGUUUCAAAUUACAUUCUAGUAAAUGUGGCACAAAUCUAACGUAAUGGAAGCAAGAAAGCUCUUCAUCUUAUCUCACCUUUGGGAAUGCAAUGUCCUGCUGUCUUUCUGGUUUAUGCCUAACUUCUACAAAGCAGAGCAAAAGCAAGAGGGAUUAAUUAGGAAGGGUAUCUGUACUAGGUAUACCUCCUAGAGGUACAAAAGUAAGUGUGCAAAGAAUAUUUAUGUGCAUUAGGUAAAUUAGUAAGAAAAUAGAUUUAUUAAAUUGUACAAUCAUGUUUUAGGGGUUUUGUACACAAAAUGUGGCAAACUUAUACACAGACCAGUUGUAAAGAAUAAAUAGAUAAUACCAUCUACAGUAUCUUUUCAGUAAAAACAUCGUCGGGUAUCUUUUCACAAACAUAUGUAAGACAUUUUCAUGUCUACUUUUGUCAUUCAUUUUGUGUUUCCACUAAGCUUUUAAAAGACUAUGUUAUUAAUUGCAAAUACAAUCAUUCCCUGUGCAAAGAAACUUCAUGUUAGUUACAUGAUUUGAAACAGCCCCCUUUUAAAUUUCUAUUUUCUCCUUUUCAUACUUGAGUAUCCUUCUUAGAUAAAGAAUAUAUAAUUUUACUCUUUGCACUUAUUAAGAUUUAAGAGUGGUGGAGUUUCAUAUUUCUUAUUGUUAAAUCAAUAAAUGAAUAAAAAUUUAUUUACAUCCAGGCUUAAGAAGUUAUAGGGGGGUAUAAAAUUUGUGUAUACAAACAACCAAAACAGCCAUUAAUAUCAUAUGGAUUGUGUAUCAGCAUCAUGUACCCUUGAUAGGAUACACUGAAGGACACACAUCACUUCUGUGGCAUUCUUGCCAAAAACACAUAGUCUUAAUUGACCAUCAGUUAAACCCAAGUGGACAGACAUGAGACUAGUACUCAUGCUACAAAAUAGCAGAUCAGUGCUCUUCAAAAUACUCUCUUAAGGUCAUAGAAAAUAACGAAAGACUAAGGAAAUGUGUGAGGCUGGAGGAGACUAAGGAGCUGUGACAACUAAAUGCAAUUCACAAAUUGUGGGAUCUUGGAUAGGAUCCUGGGACUGAAAAAAGACGAUACAGGAAAAAGUAUUGAGAUCAUAAUAAAGUCUGUACUUCAGCGAAUAGUGUAAUACCCAUUGUUUUUUUGUUUUUUUUUAACUUUAGG